GUCGAACGAGAAUGUGUAGCAAUACACAUGUAAAGUGGCGAACGGGUGAGGAAUACAUGGGUAACCUACCCUCGAGUGGGGAAUAACUAGCCGAAAGGUUAGCUAAUACUGCGUACGCUUCCCGGACUUCGGUACGGGAAGGAAAGCGAUACCGUGGGUAUCGCGCUCUUGGAUGGGCUCAUGCCCUAUCAGCUUGUUGGUGAGGUAACGGCUCACCAAGGCAUCGACGGGUAGCUGAUCUGAGAGGAUGAUCAGCCACACUGGCACUGCGACACGGGCCAGACUCCUACGGGAGGCAGCAGUAAGGAAUAUUGCGCAAUGGGCGAAAGCCUGACGCAGCGACGCCGCGUGGGGGAUGAAGGUCUUCGGAUUGUAAACCCCUUUCGGGAGGGAAGAUGGAGUGGGGUAACCCAUUCGGACGGUACCUCCAGAAGCAGCCACGGCUAACUUCGUGCCAGCAGCCGCGGUAAUACGAAGGUGGCAAGCGUUGUUCGGAUUUACUGGGCGUACAGGGAGCGUAGGCGGUUGGAUAAGCCCUCCGUGAAAUCUCCAGGCUCAACCUGGAAAGUGCAGAGGGGACUGUUCAGCUAGAGGAUGGGAGAGGAGCGCGGAAUUCCCGGUGUAGCGGUGAAAUGCGUAGAGAUCGGGAGGAAGGCCGGUGGCGAAGGCGGCGCUCUGGAACAUUUCUGACGCUGAGGCUCGAAAGCGUGGGGAGCAAACAGGAUUAGAUACCCUGGUAGUCCACGCCUUAACGA
rnacentral:rRNA from 1 species